AUUAAACUAAACGCAUAUUUUAGGAUAACAGUUUGGUGGGGCAAAAUCAUUUUAUUUCCUAUACAAUGGUUAAUGUGUAUAUAGCCGUGUGAUGUUAUUGCAGUUUAGAUUUGUUAGUUUUGUUAUUGUUAUAAAAUUGCAGCUGUAGUAUUGCAUAGAAACAUAGAGUGUGACGACAGAUAAGAACCAUUCGACCCAUCUAGUCUGCCCAAUUUUCUAAAUAUUUUAAUUAGUCCCUGGCCUUAUCUUGUAGGUAGGAUGUCCUUAUGCUAUCCCACGCAUGC